GUGCCGGAGUUAACGCAAUAAGUACCCCGCCUGGGGAGUACGACCGCAAGGUUGAAACUCAAAGGAAUUGACGGGGGCCCGCACAAGCGGUGGAGUAUGUGGUUUAAUUCGACGCAACGCGAAGAACCUUACCAGGUCUUGACAUUGAUGGACAGAACUAGAGAUAGUUCCUCUUCUUCGGAAGCCAGAAAACAGGUGGUGCACGGUUGUCGUCAGCUCGUGUCGUGAGAUGUUGGGUUAAGUCCCGCAACGAGCGCAACCCCUAUCUUAUGUUGCCAGCACUUCGGGUGGGAACUCAUGAGAGACUGCCGCAGACAAUGCGGAGGAAGGCGGGGAUGACGUCAAAUCAUCAUGCCCCUUAUGACCUGGGCUACACACGUACUACAAUGGGAGUUAAUAGACGGAAGCGAAACCGCGAGGUGGAGCAAACCCGAGAAACACUCUCUCAGUUCGGAUCGUAGGCUGC
rnacentral:ncRNA from 1 species